UACGAAGGGGGCUAGCGUUGUUCGGAAUCACUGGGCGUAAAGCGCACGUAGGCGGAUUGUUAAGUCGGUGGUGAAAUCCUGGAGCUCAACUCCAGAACUGCCUUCGAUACUGAGAGUCUCGAGUCCGGGAGAGGUGAGUGGAACUGCGAGUGUAGAGGUGAAAUUCGUAGAUAUUCGCAAGAACACCAGUGGCGAAGGCGGCUCACUGGCCCGGUACUGACGCUGAGGUGCGAAAGCGUGGGGAGCAAACAGG
rnacentral:rRNA from 1 species